UACGGAGGGGACUAGCGUUGUUCGGAAUUACUGGGCGUAAAGCGCACGUAGGCGGAUUUGUAAGUCAGGGGUGAAAUCCUGGAGCUCAACUCCAGAACUGCCUUUGAUACUGGGGAUCUCGAGUCCGGAAGAGGUGAGUGGAACUCCGAGUGUAGAGGUGAAAUUCGUAGAUAUUCGGAAGAACACCAGUGGCGAAGGCGGCUCACUGGCCCGGUACUGACGCUGAGGUGCGAAAGCGUGGGGAGCAAACAGG
rnacentral:rRNA from 1 species